rnacentral:rRNA from 1 species
UACAGAGGGGGCAAGCGUUGUUCGGAAUUACUGGGCGUAAAGCGCGUUAAGGCGGUUGGCAAAGUUGGUUGUGAAAUCUCAGGGCUCAACCCUGAAAUUGCGACCAAUACUGGUCGACUAGAGUGUGAGAGAGGAAGGUGGAAUUCCCGGUGUAGUAGUGAAAUGCGUAGAUAUCGGGAGGAACACCAGUGGCGAAGGCGGCCUUCUGGCUCAUAACUGACGCUGUAGCGUGAAAGCGUGGGGAGCGAACCGG